rnacentral:rRNA from 1 species
AGAGAUUGAACAUAAGAGUUUGAUCCUGGCUCAGAUUGAACGCUGGCGGCAUGCUUUACACAUGCAAGUCGGACGGCAGCACAGAGAAGCUUGCUUCUUGGGUGGCGAGUGGCGAACGGGUGAGUAAUGCAUCGGAACGUACCGAGUAGUGGGGGAUAACUGUCCGAAAGGAUGGCUAAUACCGCAUACGCUUUGAGAAGGAAAGCAGGGGCUCUUCGGACCUUGCGCUAUUCGAGCGGCCGAUGUCUGAUUAGCUGGUUGGUGGGGUAAAGGCCUACCAAGGCGACGAUCAGUAGCGGGUCUGAGAGGAUGAUCCGCCACACUGGGACUGAGACACGGCCCAGACUCCUACGGGAGGCAGCAGUGGGGAAUUUUGGACAAUGGGCGCAAGCCUGAUCCAGCCAUGCCGCGUGUCUGAAGAAGGCCUUCGGGUUGUAAAGGACUUUUGUCAGGGAAGAAAAGGUUGUGGUUAAUACCCAUGACUGAUGACGGUACCUGAAGAAUAAGCACCGGCUAACUACGUGCCAGCAGCCGCGGUAAUACGUAGGGUGCGAGCGUUAAUCGGAAUUACUGGGCGUAAAGCGGGCGCAGACGGUUACUUAAGUCAGAUGUGAAAUCCCCGGGCUCAACCUGGGAACUGCGUUUGAAACUGGGUGACUAGAGUAUGUCAGAGGGGGGUAGAAUUCCACGUGUAGCAGUGAAAUGCGUAGAGAUGUGGAGGAAUACCGAUGGCGAAGGCAGCCCCCUGGGAUAAUACUGACGUUCAUGCCCGAAAGCGUGGGUAGCAAACAGGAUUAGAUACCCUGGUAGUCCACGCCCUAAACGAUGUCAAUUAGCUGUUGGGCAACUUGAUUGCUUAGUAGCGUAGCUAACGCGUGAAAUUGACCGCCUGGGGAGUACGGUCGCAAGAUUAAAACUCAAAGGAAUUGACGGGGACCCGCACAAGCGGUGGAUGAUGUGGAUUAAUUCGAUGCAACGCGAAGAACCUUACCUGGUCUUGACAUGUACGGAAUCCUCCAGAGACGGAGGAGUGCCUUCGGGAGCCGUAACACAGGUGCUGCAUGGCUGUCGUCAGCUCGUGUCGUGAGAUGUUGGGUUAAGUCCCGCAACGAGCGCAACCCUUGUCAUUAGUUGCCAUCAUUUGGUUGGGCACUCUAAUGAGACUGCCGGUGACAAGCCGGAGGAAGGUGGGGAUGACGUCAAGUCCUCAUGGCCCUUAUGACCAGGGCUUCACACGUCAUACAAUGGUCGGUACAGAGGGUAGCCAAGCCGCGAGGUGGAGCCAAUCCCACAAAACCGAUCGUAGUCCGGAUUGCACUCUGCAACUCGAGUGCAUGAAGUCGGAAUCGCUAGUAAUCGCAGGUCAGCAUACUGCGGUGAAUACGUUCCCGGGUCUUGUACACACCGCCCGUCACACCAUGGGAGUGGGGGAUACCAGAAGUAGGUAGGGUAACCGCAAGGAGCCCGCUUACCACGGUAUGCUUCAUGACUGGGGUGAAGUCGUAACAAGGUAGCCGUAGGGGAACCUGCGGCUGGAUCACCUCCUUUCUA